UUAAAAGAAAUAGAUUUGAUG
rnacentral:piRNA from 1 species